CCUACGGGUGGCAGCAGUGAGGAAUAUUGGUCAAUGGGCGCGAGCCUGAACCAGCCAAGUCGCGUGAGUGAUGAAGGUUCUAUGGAUCGUAAACCUCUUUUAUAAGGGAAUAAAGUGUGGGACGUGUCCUAUUUUGUAUGUACCUUAUGAAUAAGGAUCGGCUACCUCCGUGCCAGCAGCCGCGGUAAUACGGCGGAUCCGAGCGUUAGCCGGAUUUAUUGGGUUUAAAGGGUUCGUAGGCGGCCUUUUAAGUCAGCGGGGAAAGUCUGUGGCUCAACCAUAGAAUUGCCGUUGAAACUGGGGGUCUUGAGGAUGUUUGAGGCAGGCGGAAUGCGGGGUGUAGCGGUGAAAUGCUUAGAUAUCACGCAGAACCCCGAUUGCGAAGGCAGCCUGCCAAGCCAUGACUGACGCUGAUGCACGAAAGCGUGGGGAUCAAACAGGAUUAGAUACCCUUGUAGUC
rnacentral:rRNA from 1 species